UUCAAGCUCCCUUCUAGUUCUCUCUGAUAUUGUUGGGCUGUUGACGCUUAUUGUUCGAAGAAAGAAAUAAAAAAUAAAGAUGACUGUGAGGGAGAGGGAGAGGAAUAACAAGAAUGGUAGUCAAGAAAUUGGAGGGUGUGAUACAGAAGAUCAGGGAUCAAAAGAUUUGAUCAAGAAGAAGGUAGGUUUUGUGCACAGUCAGGUUCUGAGGAUAAGAGAGGAGGAUUCACAUCUUGGUGAAGAAAGAUUGAGUGCUGCUAAAGAAAUGAUCAGGAAGGCUUUGAUUGGGAAAUUAGAAGAAAGCUUUGGUGUCCCCCCACAUGCUGCUAUGGAGGUUGUGUUUUUUUCCAGGCCUAUCUUGCCUUGCUCGCCUCUUAGUGGCAAAACUACAGUCAAGGCCUUGCACUAAAAAUUGCUCAUAUGUCAAUUAAGAUGAGCUCGAAGUUAAAGAGAUGCAGUUUGUUAAUUAAGAGAGCUGGUGACAAUAAUAUAUAUAUAUAUAUAUAUAUAUAUAUAUAAUGCCGUUCUACUGUUAGCUAGGAUUAGGAUGAAGUAGCCAUUAUGUACAGUCUAAGAAAUUAAUAUUGGUGAGCUCAUUUACAGAAAUCAAAAGCCACUUUCCUAUUAUUGGGCUCUCUUUUUUUAUUAAAAAAAAAGAAGCAAUUAUUGAAACUUAAGCAAUUCUGAUAUUGUAGAUUAUUGGCUUACAUAUGUGAGUUUAUGCAAUUUAUGUGGUGUUUAUGAU